GACAGAGGGUGCAAGCGUUAAUCGGAAUGACUGGGCGUAAAGGGCGAGUAGGCGGUAAAAUAAGUUACAUGUGAAAUACCAGGGCUUAACCUUGGGGCGGCAUGUAAUACUGUAUUACUAGAGUGCAGCAGAGGAGAGUGGAAUUUCCAGUGUAGCGGUGAAAUGCGUAGAUAUUGGAAGGAACACCAGUGGCGAAGGCGACUCUCUGGGCUGUUACUGACGCUGAGGCGCGAAAGCGUGGGGAGCAAACAGGAUUAGAUACCCCCGUA
rnacentral:rRNA from 1 species